rnacentral:rRNA from 1 species
ACAAGUGCGUUGAGGAAGGCCGCGGGACUGCGGGUGGGGUCAGGGUGGUUCGGAACUGCGGGGCGUAAAGGGCGCGUAGGCGGCUGUUUAAGGCGGGCGGUAAAGUGCCGGGUUUAACCUGGAAGGGUCGUUGGAUACGGUCGAGCUAGAGGGUGGAAGAGGCUACUGGAAUGCCGUGUGUAGCGGUGAAAUGCGUAGAUAUACGGAGGAACACCAGCGGCGAAUGCGGGUAGCUGGGCCAACACUGACGCUGAUGCGCGAAAGCCAGGGGAGCAAACGGGAUUAGAUACCCUUGUAGUC